rnacentral:misc_RNA from 1 species
AUGAUUGCAAAUGGGUUACCUUCAGUGCUGGCUCCGCCGAAGAGCAAGUGCACGUUGGUGGCUUUCAUCCAAUACCCUUGUGAACCUUUCGCCUCUUGCUAGCUUCGGCUGGCAGAGGAUUUUUAUACACACACUCGAAUGUAAUGAAAUCUAUUGUCGUGCGCAAGCACUAAUGUA